AGGGGUAGCUCAGUCGGCAGAGCAUGAGACUCUUAAUCUCAGAGUUGUGAGUUCAAGCCCCACAUUGUGUGAAAGA
rnacentral:tRNA from 1 species